UGUAAGUAUGUAAAGGAAUUAUUACGCAAUUCUAGCUAUGUAUUAAGGAGAGCAAAUUUGAUAUAAAAAGGAAUAUAUAAUAUUUCUAUUUAAUAAGCUCUAGAAGAAAUUUAAUAAUAAACGAAGUGAAGUGAAAUAUCUCAGUAACUUCAGGAAAAGAAAUCAAAAGAGAUUCUAUGAAUAGCGUGAGCGAAAGUAGACAAGUCUAUUAAGUAAAAUGGUUUAUAAACUGUUUGAAUGGGGAACCUUCCUCAAAGACUAAAUAUGAUACAUAAGCGAUAGAUAAUGGGCCGUGAGGUAAAUGGAAGUUAGUAGUAAUUUUAUAAGCAGCGAAUAGACUUAGUUUAAGCUCGUACCUUUUGCAUAAUGGGUCACCAAGUUAACAUUAGAUGCGAGAAAAUUUCGUAGUUAAACCAAACGUUAAAAUAACGAUAAGUGUCUAAAGUUAGACCCGAAGCCUAGUGAUUUUACUAUGAUCAGGAUUAUAAAAGUCCGAACGGGUGAUUGUGGCAAAAAUCUCCGAAGAAUCGUGGUAGGUAUAGUGAAAGACAAUACUGACUAGGAUAGCUGGUUUUCUGCGAAACCUAUAACAGUAGGCAAUUUAAGUAAAUAUCUUAGCAGGUACAGAAUUUAAUCUCAGGCAAUAUUUUAUUGCGCAAAUUGGGGAAUCGUGAAGAUUUUAUCAGUGAGUAUGUAGACUCGGAAUGGCAAAGAUAUAUCUUGAAUGAUCAGACAUAGAAUGAUAAGG
rnacentral:ncRNA from 1 species